UACAGGGGGUGCAAACGUUGCUCGGAAUUAUUGGGCGUAAAGCGCGCGUAGGCGGCCGCUUAAGUCGGAUGUGAAAGCCCCUGGCUUAACUGGGGAAGUGCACCCGAAACUGAGUGGCUUGAGUACUAAAGAGGGUCGCGGAAUUCCCGGUGUAGAGGUGAAAUUCGUAGAUAUCGGGAGGAACACCGGUGGCGAAGGCGGCGACCUGGGUAGAUACUGACGCUGAGGCGCGAAAGCGUGGGGAGCAAACAGG
rnacentral:rRNA from 1 species